GUGUUCGGGUUGUCAUGCCAAUGGCACUGCCCGGUAGCUAAAUGCGGAAGAGAUAAGUGCUGAAAGCAUCUAAGCACGAAACUUGCCCCGAGAUGAGUUCUCCCUGAGACUUUAGGUCUCCUGAAGGAACGUUGAAGACGACGACGUUGAUAGGCCGGGUGUGUAAGCGCAGCGAUGCGUUGAGCUAACCGGUACUAAUGAACCGUGAGGCUUAACCUU
rnacentral:rRNA from 2 species